UGGUUUUCAGAACUGAGGCCAUAAUUAAGAGGGAUGCUUGGGGGCAUUAAUAAUGUGUCACUGAAGGUGAAAUUCUUGGACUGGUGCAUGACGAACCAGAGGGAAAGCAUUUGCCAAGAAUGUUUUCAUUAAUCAAGAAAGAAAGUCGGAAUUUCAAAGACGAUCAGACACUGUCGUAAUUCCCACCAUAAAUGAUGCUGACUGUGGAUGCAGUGGCGUUAUUCCCUUGAUCCCCGGGCAGCUUCCCGGAAACCUAAGUCUUUGGGUUCUGGGGGGAAUAUGGUUGCAAAGCAGAAACUUAAAGUAAUUGAUGGAAGGGCACCACUAGGAGUGGAGCCUGCGACUUAAUUUGACUCAACAAGGGAAACAUCACCCAGUCCGGAUAUGGACAGGAUUGACAGAUUAAUAGCUCUUUCUCAAUUCCAUCAGUGGUGGUGCAUGGCUGUUAUUAGUUGGUGGAGCGAUUUGUCUGGUUAGUUCUGAUAAGGAAGGAGACUCUGGCAUGCUAACUAGUUAAGCGACCCUGAGCUGUCAGCAUCCCCCAACUUCUUAGAGGGACAAGUGGUGUUCAAACACCCGAUUGAGAAAUAACAGGUCUGUGAUGCCCUUAGAUGUCUGGGAUGAACACACACAACACUGACUGGCUCAGCGUGUGCCUACUUUAUGCUGGCAGGCCUGGGUAACCCGUUGAUGGGGACUGGGGAUUGCAAUUAUUCCCCAUGAACAAGGAAUUCCCAGUAAGUGCGGGUCACACGAUUGUGUGGAUUAAAUCCCUGCCCUUUGUACACACACCCAUCCUACAAUUGGAUGAUUUAGUGAGGCCCUGAGAUCGGCCCUGCUGGGGUUGGCCCAUGGCCCUGGUUGAGUGCUGAGAAGACAGUCAAACAUGACUACCUAGAGGAAGUAAAAUUUGCAAGGAUCAUUA
rnacentral:ncRNA from 1 species